CAUUAUGCAUCCAAACAACAUGGCUACUGACUACUUUAUCCCAGUACAGAAAUGACAAGAAAUGUUGUACCUUGUCCUCCUGAUUAUUGGACCAGACCUAUGAAGAUUUCUGUGCCAUAAUUAAUGCAAACAUAACACAAUUUUGACAGAAGAGAAGAGGAGAUGACAACUGAAGGGAAUAAAGAAACGAGAAGAGGUACAUUAAAAGAUCGUGAGGAGCACUUUGUCAGCUUGUUCCUGCUUGUAUACUGCCUUGAUUAGAUGAAAUACAUGUGUACAUUUAUUCCAUGCCAGAAGUAAAUGAUGGUGAUACAUAAAGAUUUUACAAAUGCAACUUGGAAGUAAAGUAACUAUUCAGAGGUGAAAAUGUGAGCAAUUAUAUAAACCAUGUGCCUUACUGUCACCUGUUUUGUGCUUUCCACUUGUGUUUAAUGGAAAAUAGCUAUUGAAAUGUUUUGAAAGUAUUUUGAUAGCAUUUAAUGGGGAAAUUUUUGCCCCUCCUCCUCCACCCAGCACAAGAUACUAGUAAGUGCAAAUUCAGGUAAAAGUGGAAUCAGGUCAGUGUCUUA